CAACAAAGUUCAGCCUUUCCAAAUUAAAGGAGUUAGAAUUGACGUGCUUACCAGAGCUGAAGAGCAUAUGCAGUUCAAAUAGGGAAAUGGUAUGCAACUCUCUUAGGAAAAUUAAAGUAUGGGACUGUACGAAGCUAAAAAGGAUGCCUCUGUGUCUUCCUCAUUUUCUAGAUACACACCAAGCAGCUCCUUCUGUUCGUCCUUUCGUAAGUGUCCUCGCGCAUCCAAAGGAGUGGUGGGAAUCAGUAGAGUGGGACUAUCCGAAUGCUAAGGAGGUUCUGCGACCUUGGUUGAACUUUUAUUAGCGCUGCUGGAAGCCUUUGCUGUUCAAAUCAAAUUCCGGAUCAAGCUAAACAGUGAGUCUUCAUUUGUUGCUUUUAUUUCUAGAAAAAAAAUUGAAGAUUUUUUAUUCUACCAAAAAGAAGACGGGCAAGAAGAGGAUUAUGAUUGGCAAAAUAGAGACCAAAGAGAACAAAGCUAUUACCAAUGUUUGAAACAAAUUUAUAUCAAUUAGCAUCAUGCUUUGUUACCAGCUGUAGGCUAAUUUGGUUGAAAUGGUUUUAAUAAAGCACGGUCUCAUUUGCUUCUUUGUUUAACCCCAGUGAUUAGGCUUGCUCUAGAACCCUUGAGAUUCUCAUUAUGACAUUAAUGAUUUGAAUGAACGAACAGCCCCUUUUUCUUCUUUAUUUGGUAACUGCGCUUUAAGUUGAUAUAAAUAUGUUUUCCAAUGUAGUAUUCUUGUUUGCUUAGAUCAAUGUCAAAAACCUUGCCUCCAAUGCUUCCCUUUCUUCUCCACCUUUUUUUUUUUUUGAAUUCUUUGUGGGGUCUUAUUAAAUACAGGUUGUUUAUACCAUUCUAAAGCUAGCAAAGCAGUUGGCUUGACAAUCAAAUCUUUGAGAAACAAAUCAACCCAACUCAUCACUGUACCUUCAUUCUUCUGUGGUGGUUCUAUCUUUGAUGUGGUACUUCGUCGGAUGCAUCCUUCUCUUGUGGUUUUAUCUUUAAUAAAUGAACUUCAAUUUGGUUUCAAUGUGAUUGGAUUGUUGAUGUUGUAAUUCAACUUUGUACUUGAUAAUCCUGCUUCUAGUUUGCAUCAUUUUUUACCAUGUGGUUGUGUUUCCUGUGGCUUAAUUGUCUCAUUUAAUCUUGGAACUUGCACAUUUAUAUAUAUAUUGAACCAUCCCAAAGGUAUAUACCACUUCUUGAAAUGGUGUUUUAUUUAGGUGGCCUUUUUGCUAUUGUGAACCAUCCCAAUGCUAAGCAGGAUCUGCUACCUUACUUGGUAAUGCUAUAGCGCUACUGAAAGGCUUUAUCCAAAACUCUAUCUAUUCCUUGCAUCUGAUGGUGGGUUAAUGUUUAGACAUAAUCUAGACUUGGAUUUGAUUAAAUGAGCGUUUAUCUAGAUUUUUCAAAUUAAAUUGAUUUGGUUUCAGAAUUAGAAUAAAAAGCUAGUUUUGAAAUUUAUUUUAUUUAAGUUGGAAUGUAUUUUAUUUUGAGUUUAAAUUAAUUAAUAAAAUAAUUUUAAUUUAAUAUAUUAAGUCAAGAUUUUUAGUUGAUUAAGCAAUUUAUUAGUGAUUAAUGGAACUAGUUCAAAAAUUUAUCUUAACUGAAAUAAUUACAUUAAAAAAAUUAAAAUAUCAUAGAGUGAACAUUAUCAUCACAAUUUGCAUUCAUGUAGUUAUAUAACUCUACUUUUAGUUAUCACAACAGCAGAACAGGUUUUUAGCGGCGUUUUUUUUUGCCUUUAGCGGCGCUUUUAAACGCCACUAAAUCCAUUUCUGGUUCUUGAAGAAGCGCCGCAAAAAAUGCCGCUAACGACAACGUCGCAAAUUUUUGCGGCGCUUACAGAAAAAAAUGCCACUAAAGAUCAUGUUCUUUAGCGGCCCUUAGAAAAAAACGCCGCUAAAGAUCAUGUUCUUUAGCGGCGCUAAAAAAAUAAACGCCACUAAAGACCAUCUUUUUUAGCGGCGCUAAAAAAUAAACGCCACUAAAGACCAUGUUCUUUAGCGGCGCUUUAGAAAUAAACGCCACUAAAGAGCAUGUUCUUUAGCGGCGCUUAGAAAUAAACGCCACUAAAGAUCAUGUUCUUUAGCGGCGCUAAGGAAAUAAACGCCGCUAAAGAUCAUGUUAUUUAGCGGCGCUUAAGAAAAAAACGCCGCUAAAGAUCAUGUUCUUUAGCGGCGCUUUGAAAGAAAACGCCUCUAAAAGUAAUGUUCUAUAGCGGCGCUUGUUUAAAAACGCCGCUAAAAGUAGUAUUCUUUUAGCAGCGCUUAUUUCAGAAAUGCCACUGUUUGAUAUGACUUUUAGCGGCGCUUUUUUAAAAAACGCCACUAAUUUUAGGAUUUUUUUUAAAUAAAACUUUCUGUUUUUUUCUGCCCUCCUGCAACAAAAAAUUAAAAGCAACCAAAUCUAAACUAACAAAAAACAAUAAAUUUAUAUAAUAUUUCAAAUUAAAUGACUAAAAUAAUAUUAAUUUAUAUAAAUAAAAUUGAAUUCAUACUUUUCUUUACAAAAGCGUUAAAAGUAUUUAUGCAACAUACACUAUGACGGCGGAAGUUGCGACUGCUGAAACAUCUUCAUCAUAAUCUGAAGCUGCUGUUGAAGUUCGUUGUACUUUUUGCUCUGCUCCGCUUCUCUCGAUGCCGCAUCUUUUUGAAGUCGUAGCUAUAGUUCUUCAUAUUUCUUUUGAACCUCUGCUUCUAUCGCUGCUUCUCUCGCUGCUUCUCUCGCUGCGGCCUCUGCUUCUCUCGCUGUGGCCUCUGCUUUAAGUUGUUGCUGAAGUUCUUCAUAUUUCCUUUGAACCUCAAAUGUGAUCGCUUGCAUCUGAGCCAUCUGGUCUUUUAACCUCUGAACUUCAGCUUGAGAUUGACUCCCCGAAGCCAUGUAUUGGUGCGAGCUGGAUCCAAAAUAUUGGGUUGGGCUGAUAAAAGAUCCUUGAAAUCGAACCCGACCAUACUUUUCAGGACCCAAUACUUCAGUAAUAAUCCGGUUAUCAAUGUCUUCAAGAUGAACAGAACUAUCACUAGAAGCAAUCGCUUCGUACUCCGUCUUUUUUUCCUUUAGUUUUUCCUAAUAAAUAAAUCACAUAGUUAGGAACGCAAUAUAUAUAGUAAAAAAAACAAAUGCAAUAUAACAAUAGUCGCAUUACAAGCAAUGAAUUAAACCAUUAGAAAAUAAACACUAUAAAUAACUAAAACAAGUGAAAUCAUAUUAAGUAAACGUACCAUAAUUUCACCAGCUUCAGGAGUCAUAGCAGAUCCAUCUUUUUUCUUAUGUGUAAUUUCAAAAAGUUGUAGGCGUCCAACUUUUUGACCGGAUGACCGUUCCUACAAUAUAGUAGUAAAAAUAUUAUUUAAUAGAAAGUUAUACAUAUUUGAGAAUAUUAAAAAAUUAAAAAUACCUCCGCCUCAGCUACACAUGCAAAACUUCUCGACCCGGCUGUGUGAGUGAAUUUUUGUUGCUGCCGGCUGCUUUUUCCAACUCGCUCACGAUCCUACGUUAUAAAAUUUUUAGUACGUAAAUAGUAAAUACUAUAAACCAAAAUAAUUACAAUAGUUUGGAAGUACGUCGUACCUCGCCUUUCUGAGAAUACCAAAAUCUAACCGCAUCUUCCCAUUGGUACCUCAACAUACCCGGCGGGACAUUUUGCAAUUUCUCAUCGAGGGUGGUUUUUGUCUUAUAAUAAUUUUUCUUCAAAGUACUUUUACUGUCUCUCCAUCUUUUUCCCAAUGCCUUCUUUACAUAAGCAUCGGAGACCUCUAAAGCAAAUAAAGUAAAUAUAAAUGAAACUAUUUCCCAAGCAUUACAGAUGACAUUAACAUUUUGUUACCUUAAUAUUAUCGAAGGCUUGGUUUUUGUUGCUAUCGGGCAUUUGACGCCAUGACUCGUAGUUGAUAGGCAACAUAUUCGGAUUUCGUGCUAAAAUGCCCAUGUAUCCUGCUAAAAGUCGAGCUUCUGAUUCAACAGGCUGACCAAAACUGUUUCUGCGUACCUUGACACGCUCGGCUGGAUCUAACUCGUAUAACUCUCUAAGUAGCGUACGUCCUCGACCUCUACGCGUCCCACCAUUUUCAGCUACAAAUGGUAUAUUAUAAUAUAAGAAUUUGAAAAAUAAAUCAAUUAUAAGUUAACACGCAUGGAAUUAAUGUAAGUUACUUUGAACUUCCGUAAGAUCCUCGUGUGUAAUCGAAACAUUCGAAGAUCCAAUUGCUGUCUGUUGUUCAGUACUAUUUGUUUCUAUCGAGUUUGGAUCAUUUUGAACAAUGCUUUCCCUUAUAAUUUUUCUUCUAGGCAUUUUAUCUGCAAUACACAUAAAAUGUAAUUAAACUUAAUAAUUAAUUACAACAAUAACAGCACAUAUAAAAUAGUUGAGUUAUAUAAUAAGACCAAGAUUUAAUACUAAUGUAAGUAUAUAAUUAAACAAUCGUAAAAUCUUACUACAUCAUUAUUCGUAAAAAUCUUCAUCCGUAUCCUGACGAACCCAUUGAAAUUGUGCACUAGUACUAAGGGUAUUAUCGUUUAAGUUUUGUUCUGGAAAUGGAAAAGUUUUUGAUCUGUCGUCGAUGUUAUCUCUACUUCCACUGCCCAUGUCAAACAAGUCUCUAGGGAUGUUACGGAGUACAACGUACCAACCCUCAUCAGUUGGAUCUUUUGAGUAAAAAACUUGUUUGACUUGACUUGAGAAUACAUACGGCUCAUCUAUCAGUUGUUGUCCUGUGUGAAUCAAUCGGUCAAAGUUCACCAUUGUAAAACCAAAUUGAUCUUGCUUGAUUCCACGAGCUGUAUUAACAUCGGCCCAAUCACCUCGAAAUAAGACAACUUUCCAUUUGCCGUAGUAAUCCAACUCAAUUAUGUCAGUAAGCUGUCCGAAAUAUUCCACAUUUCCCUCGACUGGAUUAUUGUCCCUAGCGCUAGCAUAACUUGUAAUUGCAGAAUUAACAACUAUUCCACAAUUUUGCGUUCUCCUCAACCUCUCGCGAUAUUUUGUAUGAAAUCUGAAUCCGUUGAUGAGGAACGCACUAUAUCUUUUAACCACUCGAUUUGGACAUUGGGAGAGCCAUUUAACUUCGUCGUUUACGCUCUUCCCAUUCGAAACCUAUUGAAUGGAAAGUAAACUAAGUACUUAAAAAUGUUAUGAGAAAGCAUUAUUAUUUGUAAGCGAAAGCUCCAACUACAUACCGUUUGGCUUAACCAUUCAUAAAAAGAUUCUGUAAACAACUUCUUGAUAUCUCGAUGUUGUGUUCUUCGGUUGCGCGAACGAGAUCUCAAUAUUUGUUUGUACUCACUAUAUAUGUUAAAAAAAUGUGAUCUUUGUUAGAAGAUAAACAAUUUUUAGUUUGAUAAAUAUUUAUAAAAUUUGUAGAACUUACUUCCGUAAAGGUUCCAAUGAUUCGUGGUGAAACAGAACAUAUCGUUGUGCUUGUACCCACAAUAAAUUAUCUAAUUCCGCAAUUUCAACUUUGCCGAUUGGUUGUCCAGAACUUUGGAACAAAUAAGUACUAUCGGCUAAGUUAUAGUCUGUGAGUCCAGCAUUCCUAUUUGGUCUGUUCAACCUUGUUUCGACAUCUUCCAAAUAUCUUGAGCAGAAGGUCAUACAUUCCUCUGCCAAGUAGCCUUCAGCAAUCGAUCCUUCUGGAUAUCGCUUGUUGCGACAAUAAGACUUUAAUUUGGAUAGGAACCUAAACACAAUAUACAACAUUAUCAUAAGUUGUAACUAUAGGCAUAGAGGUGAAUGAAAGAAAAUUUUAAAAAUACUUCUUUAACACCUUUCUAUGGGAUACAUCCAUCGAUAGAAAACGGGUCCGCAUACAUCCUCGACUGUGCAUCAUUUUCAUCGUCGUUCCCAUCUUCUGUGUUUCUAUUUAUCCAACGGGAGUGGCCGCAUACAUGACAGCACUGUUGGUUUUUCCGAUCGCCCCAAUACAACAUGCAGUCAUUUGGGCAACUAUGGAUUUUGUUGUACCCAAGGCCUAAAUCUUUUAUCAUUUUCUUCAUAUCUUUGCAUGACUGAGGGAUUUUUGUAAACGGAAACAUUUCUCUCAAAAACUCUAGUAGCAUUGUCAACGAGUUUUCGGUCCACCCUCCCAAACAUUUUAACUGAAAAAGACGAACACAGAAGGCCAUUUUUGAAAAUUUUGAUCCCUCAUACAAUUCUUCGUUCAUGUCAUUAAGUAGAGCGUAGAACUUCGCCGCUUCUCUAUUUGGCUCUUCAUGAGGUACACUACUUCCCGGUUUGGUAAAAGUAGUUCCACCGACGUUACAAUCAUCAUAUGCCAUAAAAUCCCCUGGGAACGAUUACACACCAUGAUUGUGCAUAUUAAAUGCAUCCCGCAACAUACCUUCCAUGUCAUCCCCUCUAUCAGACUAAUGGUAAGCAGUCCCAGGAUAAGAUACAUCCAUCGUUAAAGAGGAAGUACUUCUAGGGCAUUCUCCAUGAAAAAUCUAUUGCUUAUAACCCUUAACAAACCCAUCAACAAUUAGAUGCUCGUAUACAACCUCACGAUAAUGCCAGUUUAGGUUGACACACUUUUUACACGGGCAAAGAAUCAUGUUCUCUUGGCUUGCAUAUUGAAAUGCAAAAUUUAGAAAACUCUGCACCCCAUUUCGAUAACCGUCGCUUACCCUUGACAAAUUUAUCCAAGACCGGUCCAUUUCUUAAUUCUUGAAGUCUGACGUUGACAAUAAAUUGCACGGUUUUAGGAUUUGACAACAAGAUAUACAUUAUAUAAGUUAUGUAAGUUAUGUAAGUUAUGUAAGUUGUGUAAGUUGCGUAAGAUGUGUAUUAUGAAACUUAUGUAAGUUAUGUCUUAUGUAAGUUAUGUAAAUUAUGUAUUAUUUACACAUGUAAGUUAUGUCUUAUGUAAGUUGCGUAAGUUGUGUAUUAUGAAAGUUAUAUCUUAUGUAAGUUAUGUAGGGUAUGUAUUAUUAUGUAACUUAUUUAAUUUAUGUAGGGUAUGUAUUAUUAUGUAACUUAUUUAAUUUAUGUAGGGUAUGUAAGUUAUGUAAGCUCUGUAUUAUUUACGCAUGUAAGUUGUGUAUUAUGUAUUAUUACGUAAGUUAUGUAGGGUAUGUAUAAUAUUAAAAAAAUAGUAAUAUACUUAUUUAAGUUAUAAAUUUAUUAUUAAUAAAAUUUAAAUAUAGCUUACAUACGUAAAUGAAUAUAUGUAUAAUAUUAAAAAAAUAGUAAAACUUAUUUAAGUUAUAAAUUUAUUAUUAAUAAAAUUUAAAUAUAGCUUACAUACGUAAAUGAAUAUAUGUAUAAUAUUAAAAAAAAUAGUAAUACUUAUUUAAGUUAUAAAUUUAAACUUAAAAAUAAAUUAAAAGUUUGAAAUUUUUUGUAAGUUAUCUAAAAUUAAACUUAAAAAUAAAUUAAAAGUUUGAAAUUUUUUUCCAUGAUUAAAAUUAAAUAAAAGAAAACAAAACAAACUAAAUUUCGGGGAUUAAAAUAGCAACUAAAGGAAAAAAAUUUGUUUUGGAGGAAAACAUAUAAAUAUUUGCAAACUAUACGGGCUUUAACCAAAUGUUUAUAUUAUUUAGACAUAAAUAACCUUCAUUUUCGAAAUAAUUUACUUGUUAUAUGGAAUAAUAUGUAUACAACAGUUAACCAUGUUUUAUAUCAAUGAAACUGAAAUGUGAAAAGAAAUUGGAUUAAUUUGUUAUUGAAUGUAACGUAUAGUUCCGAAAUUUUGAAUAAUUUUAAAAUAAAAAAAUUUAAUCCAAUUUAUUAAAUUUAUUAAAUUGCUUCUAUUUUGCUCAACAUAUAUAGCAAUCGUUGAUGGAUGAUAACAAAAAACAUAAGUCAGAAAAGUACAUGGCAAUUGUAAAAUAAGUAAAAUGAAACAUAAGCUAGAGGAAAAUAACCAAAACCAAUUACAUGUAUACAAAACCAGAGCCCCAAAAGAAACAUUUUUCAAAAAUCAUCUUGCUAUUUCCAUAUAAUAUUCACAAAAAGUCAGACCAUUUUAGUUUAUAGAUUUACUUACCACUAUAUUACAGUUUAAAAUUUUUAAAAAUACAAGAACUAAACUUGAUCAAAUUUCUGAAUCGGUAGUAAGUCCAUAUGAUUAACUGUGCAGUGACUAAUAAGUCCAUACUUCAACAACAAAUGUUAUCAUUAAUCUAGACAAUAAAAGCAAAAGAAUCAAAAAAAAGAAUGAAUCUCAAAGUUCAGCCUAAUAAAGAGGUUGAAAGAAGAUUUAUACCAAAAAUAUUACUUUGCUCAGAAUGUAAUUUGAACUUACAAAUUUUGAACAGUGCUGUAGUGUUCCGUUCCUUGCCACUACUGGAUUUUUGUAAUAGUAUGUAUAGUAGCCCUGCCAUAGCAAACAUUAAUAGAUGUGAAUCAAUAGGUUUUGAGAAUGAAUCUCAACAUCAAUAACCUACCCCUCAUCCUGAGCUAUUUUCGACAGAAAAGAAAUAAAUGAUUAACCAAGGUAGUAACGUACUAAGUUUACAGAGAAGAAUUCUUCUCUUAAAACCAUUUUCAUUGUCUGAUCGAAAUGGUUAAGGUUAUGAAAAUUAUUACCUAAAAAUGUUCUUACUUUCUUAACCCUAAUUUGAAUUUACCGUAUUAAUACCUAAAAAUGAUCUUACUUUCUUAACCCUAGUUUGAAUUUUCUUAUUUCAAUGGCUACUUGUCACUUCAGUGGCUAUUUCUCAACUAAAUACGACGACCCUCAUCAGUCGGCUAGGUAGAAUAAAAACUGAAUUGUAUGUUUAAAAAUUAAACUGUACGAAAAAAAGGAAUAAUGUGAAAACUAAAAUAUGUGAAAACUAUUGCAUUUCACGAAUAAAUAUAGAUGAAAAUGCUGAAAUAUGUGAAAAAUGAAAACCCUUGAACUACCGUCGGCAAGAGAACAAACCUCUAAGCUGGCGAUUUCAAGGUUGCCGAUUUCGGGAAACUCGUUGGGCUGCCGAUUUUCGGGUGAACUUAGGGAUUUCAGGGGGAAUUCUCUAAAAAUCUUAAAGUUUGGGGAACUAAUUAGGGCUGCUGGGGAAAUGAAUGUCGAAAGUCUGCUAGGGAAGAAAGGGGAAAUAAAAAUCGGAGUAAGAGGAAAACGGAGGGGAAGCAAACGACGACGUUUUGCUAAAUGAAAUAAACCCUUGUGGCUUUUAACUAGACGUGCCGCUAAAUCCAUGGAAAUUGCGGCGUUUCAAAACAAACGCCACUAAAAACCCACAAAAAUGGUGACGUUUGCAUUAAUACAACACAAGGAAUUCCGACGUUUUUGACAUUGCGCCUCUAAAUCCUGCAGCAUUUACGGCGUUUGACCAAAAACGCCACUAAAGAAGCUAUCAACACGGUGCCGUUUUGCUGAACACAGAUUCAGGGUAAGGGCAAAACAGAGGACAGAAAAACGAUGACGUUUGAGUAAUAGAAAUAAACUAUUGCGGCAUUUAUUAGAAACGCCGCUAAAUUUCUACCUACUGCGGCGUUUAAUCCAAAACGCCACUAGAGAACCUCCAAAACGGCCGCGUUUGGGUUAAUAGAAAAUGACGUUUGCAUUAAUACAACACAAGGAAUUGCGGCGUUUUUGACAUUGCGCCUCUAAAUCCUGCACAUUUACGGCGUUUCACCAAAAACGCCACUUGUGAAGCCAUUAACACAGCGUCGUUUAGAUAAAAAUAGAAUUAGAACGAGGGAGAAAAUGUAGGAGACCAAAACGACGGCGUUUUACUCUCUGCAAUAAAUGUUUGCGGCGUUUAACUAAAAACGCCGCUGGAUACACACAAAACACAGCCGUUUUGAUAAACACAACGCCGUUUUCAUUAAAAUAUCUUAUCUUUUUGCGGCGUUUUCUGUAUUGCGCCGCUAUAGGUCUACAUAUUGCGGCGUUUCUCUGAAAACGCCACUAAAUAAGCCUAUUGAACGGCACCGUUUUUAUGACAACAUAAUUCCUUUAGUAUGAAAUUUGUUUCUAUAUUUGAAAGGUUUAAUUAUUUCUUAAAUAAAUUUAAAUUAAAUUUGUUCUGUUCCACGCUAUAUAUUUAAUAUGUAAAAUUUUAAUUAUAAUUGUAUACAUGAAAAUAAUUUUAAAUAAUAUCAAAACUCGAGCUAGAUAUAUGUCUUCCUUCUGAAGAAUAUUAUGUAAUUUUUUGUAUUAAAUUAAGAAGGCAAAGCUUAUGAUGUUACGAUAGAAUCGAAAAAAAUUAGACGGAUCAAAACAAUCCGAAAUAGAUGUUCAUGAAUAUUGGUUAAUAGAAAGGAUCGAUAUAUAUAUAAUUCUAUUCCCUUGACUGAUCUUGAUUUUAGUUCAACUAGUAUUCGUGUCUGCGCCAUUCUUCAAACAAGAGCACGAACAUAUGACAUUGUAAGAACCCUACAAUUAGUAAGGGUGAAAAACGCUUCAUUAAAAACACUAAUUAAUCAAAACCCCGAAACACUAAACCCCAAAAUUAUACACCCUAAACACUAAUCCCAAUUACCCCUAAACUUUAAACCCCAGCACUUAAACCCUAAACCAUAAAACAUAAUCACUAAACCCAUAAUCCAUAAACCUUAAAUUGUAACUCUUAAAUCUUAAACCAUAAACCUUAAAGCAUAACCCUUAAACCCUAAACUGUAAAACCAAACCCUAAAUAUAUCCCCAUAACCCCUUAAAGCAUAACCCCUAAAUCCCCCUAACCCCUAAGUCAUAACACCUAACCCUUAAACCACAAAACCUUGAACCUUAAUUCCUAAACCUUAAAUCCAUACCCUGACCUACUCAUGAUUAAACUCUAAACCAUAUACUAUAAUGAUAAUUAAUUCAAUAUUUUAAAAUUAAUACUACCUUUUUUACGAUUAUAUAAGAAAUUAUUUAAUAUAUAAACUAAAAAAAUCAGUAAUGUAUCCAAAAAACUUUAAAAAUAUUUUAAAUAAAUUUAUUUAAAUCCCUGAGCAUUAGCGGCGCUUUAUUAAAAACGCCGCUAAACCCCUGAAAAGCUAAGAAAAUGGUGUCGUUGGGUUAAAUUUUUUUUGCGGCGCUUUCAUAAAAGCGCCGCUAAAAACUCAGCAUUAGCGGCGCUUUAUUAUAAACGCCGCUAAACCCCUGAAAAGCUAAGAAAACGGUGUCGUUGGGUUAAAUUUUUUUGCGGCGCUUUUAUUAAAGCGUCGCUAAAAACCCAGCAUUAGUGGCGCUUUACUAAAAACGCCGCUAAAUCCCCGAAAGCAAAGAAAACGGUGUCGUUGGGUUUAUUUUUUUUGCGGCGCUUCCAUAAAAACGCCGCGAAAGCCCUGCAUUAGCGGCGCAUUAUUAAAAACGCCGCUAAACCCCCCCCGGAAGCUUAGAAAACGGCGUCGUUGGGCUUAGUUUUUUAAAGCGCCGCUAAUUCUUAUUUUCAGUGGCGUUUUCAAUUCAGUGCCGCUAAUGAUCGAUCUUUAGCGGCGUUUGUUAUUAAAACGCCGCUAAAUACACCGCUAAAAGCCUAUUUUGGUGUAGUGUAUCCAUAAUUAAUUUUAAAUAUAUAUAUAUAACAAUGAAAAGUUAAGAAAUUUCAAAAAAAAAAAAAACACUUUUUGUUGAGGCCAUAGAUCAAAUGGUUAUAUUUGUUAAAUGACUACUCCAACCGUUAAAACCAUCUUUGUGAAAAAAAAUCAGCUUGAUCAAGAUUGUAUACAGGAGCUAGAAUUGAAUUACUCAAAUAAUUUAAAUUGUUUUAAAAAAAAUUAAUCAACUUUAAUAAUUUCUUUUGAGAUUAAAAAACUUUAAUCAAUUUUAAAAAAAAUUAAAUUUUAUCCAUCCCUAAUCUUUUAAAUAUAAAGAAAGACUCUAAACAGAUUUUUUUUUAUUAAAAAAAUUAUAAGAUGAUAGAUAGCUACUUAUCAUUAAAUUUAGAAAAUAUUAAAUUACUUUUAUUUUAUUAAAAAAUUAAAAUAAAUUAUUUUUUAAAAUGAAAUAUUCAAAUUACCCUAUGUAUCUUUUAUCCAAAACUAUCUACAAUAAUAUAAAAUAUUAUAUUAAUAAAAUUAAAAUUAAUAAAACAAAUAAUCUUUUAAAAUCAAUAUUUACUUUUGUUAAACAAUAUAAUUAUAUUCGAUACUUAUAUUUACUAAUUUAUCAAAUAAUUUUUAAUAUACAUUUAAAACUUAUAAAAUUUAAGGGUAAAAAUGCAGUGGUUAAAUUUUUAAUAAUUAAAAUUUUAAUUUAUCAUUAGAUUAUGUAAUAAACAACAAUAAUAUAUAAAUAAUGAAAGUCAAUUACGCUCAUUGUCUUCCAUUAAAGAAAAGUUACACUCACGGUUUUUCAGUGAUAUUUCAGAUUUAUUUUUUAAUUAGUUUUUUAAUAAUACAUUUUUUUUUAUCGUAAUCAAAAUAUCUAUAGUUGACAGCAGUUACUAAUCUCUUUUUCGAAGGUAGACAAUGCAUUUUUAAUUACAAUAAUUAGUAUAUUCGUUAUUUAAAUUAUUGAAGAUAAUUAAAUUAUAUUAUCUUAUUUUAAAAAUCAAACUUAUAAUAAUAAAAAAUUUAAAAUGAUAAUUAAAGCAUUUAUAUUAUAUUCAAUGUAGAAUAUAAUUUUACUUCAUUUAAUUUAUACAGAACAACAAUACUAAAAAUAAUAAUAUAAUUAACAUAUAAAAUUAUUUUGUCAUUCAAAUGCAGUGCUAAUAAAAAAAUUCUUAAUAAUUAUUAAAAAAUUGUAAAAAUUAUAAAAAAAAGUAAUAUAUCAUAGGGAUCAUAUAUAAAAUCAUUUAAUAAAAAAAUUAAUCUUCACAAAAUUCCAAUGUAUCCCAAAUAAAGUCAUAAUAAUAAAUUUCUUGAUAUUAAUCAAUAAAGAUUAAAACAAAAAAUAUAUAUUAUCAAAUUAGGAAAACCUACUUGAAAAUCUUGAAAAAUUAAUAUUUAUCAUAUAAAAUUCUAGAGAGAAAAAGAGAAUAAGAAAAAUAUUGGAGAAAGUGAUGAAUAUUAAAAAGAAAAAGAAUAAGGAGUUUUGAAAUUUUGAGUAGGUUGAGAGAUAUUUAUUUUGUUUUAUAUAAAUAAAAUAUUUUUAUAACAAACUUUUUUUUUUGAAGUCACUUUGAGUCCACGAUUUUUUAUUGACUUCGCCCACAUAUUAAAAGUAUAAUAUAAAUAAAAGAAUAAAUAUAUAAUCUUUCUCUAUUUUAAUUAUUUUAUCUACAUAAUGUGAUUUAUUUAAAAUAUAAAUAGUAUGAUAUUUUAAUUGAUUAAGUUUUAGUUCAAUUGGUAUGAGUAUUAUUAUCAAUGCAAUAACACAAUAGUUUGAGCGCCCCUCCUUAAUUUUUUAUAUAUAAAAGUUUUAAUUUAUAAUUUCAACUAAAUUGAACCCAAACAAGCAUAAUCUCUUCAAUCAUGGUUUAGUCAAAUUUAUUAUCUUUAAGUUUGAGAUCUAAUCUUUUAAAUUUUAAUUUGACAUAAUUUAUCCUCUAUUUUUAUAAUAUUAUUUGUUAGUCUAAAUUAUUAAUAUCGAUUAAUUAUUUCAACUAAAAAGCUAAUUUAAUUGUUUCUCAAAAACAUUAUAUCACACAUGAUCAGUUAGGAUGUGUUUUAAGAAAAAAUCUACUUCAAUUAAUUAGUUAUUUGAAUUAGCAUAUGAUAUUAUAAAAAUAGAGGACCAAAUUAUGUUACAUUAAAAACUAGAAGGAUUAAUUUUUAAAUUUGAGUAUAAUAGAGGAACCAAAACUAACUUUGACUUGUCUAUUAUUGUAGCAACCCGAUUUUUGACCCAAAUCGGAACAGUGGUUUCGGGACCACAAAUCCGAAUUAGAAAAAUAUUUUAAUAUUAUUUUCUGUGUUUAUUAUGAGUGAAUUUGAUUGUGUGAAAUUUCCGUGUUUUAAUUUCAUCGUUUAAGUAUCCGAUUUAAUAAAAGGGUUUAAACGCGUAAAAUAAAAAUUUAAGGGUUAAAUCUAAAAGCACCUAAAUGUUGUUGUCUUUUUAAAUGGGAGGAUUUAUGAUGUAAUAAGACCAAAAGUUAGAUAGUGGGUGGCAUUUGACAAGAGUAACCUUAAUAUAUAUGUUAGACAUAAUUAUUAGUAAAAGGUUAAUAUAGUAAUAAGGUAAAUAUUAACUUUAUAAUAAAAUUAAGUAAUGAAAAGAUGAAUAGGUUCAUCUUGGUUAGCCGAAUGUUGAAAAGGAAGGAACCAUACAUGGCUUUUUAAGUUUCGGCACUUCUUUAGCUUGGUUGAGGUAUGUUUUGAUUUCGAUUUUUGAUGAUUUUUACGUUUUUGUAAUCGUUGCUUCGUGUUCUAUUUAGCCCAUGCUUUAAUUUUAGAAUUUGAAGGUGAUUUUGAGAUAUGCCAUUGAUGAAUACUUGAGUUUUAUGAUAGUUAAUGAUGAAAUAUGGAAGAUAUGUGAUAGAUUAUAAUGUUUGUUUUUGAAUUUUUGAUGAAUUUGAUUAUUUUGGGUUAAUUUGUAAGAAAAUAUUAAAUUGAGGGACUAGAAUGUGAAAUAAAUGUCAUGCAAGGACCUAUUUGAGUCUAGGGAAUAUUCGGCCAAAGUACAUUGUGAUUAAUUUGGAAUAUUUUGUGUUUUGUGCAAUUUGGACUAAAUUGUAAAAAUGUUAAAUAUCAGGGGCAAAAUGGUAAAUUACCUAUUUAUGUGUUUUUGGACGGAAUUGAAUGAAAUUAUGUUUGAAUGAGUUAAAUUUGAAUGUGUAUAGAUCAAGAAUUAAAGAAAUCGGACUUGGAUCGGGGGAAAAUAAAGUCGUUGAUUAAUUGUUCCGUUCCGGUUUAUCGCUGUUCGAGGUAAGUUUAUAAGCAAUUAAAUGUUAAAAUUUCUGAAUAAAUUUUAGUUAUAUAAAUGCUGAAAUGAAAUAUGCAAAUAUAUAUAUAGCUGAAUGCGUUUUAGUUCGGAAAGUAGAAAUUGAUGUGAAUGCGAUUUAUCGAUAUUUAGCACUAAGUGUGCGAGUAUGGAAUAGCUACGGCUAAAUGAACGGCACUAAGUGUGCGAAAUUAAAAUAAUGAUGUUGGAUAAUGGGCACUAAGUGUGCGAAAUUAAAAUGAUGAUGUUGUAUAACGGGCACUAAGUGUGCGAUACCGAGAGCAACUUUGUUAGAUGAGAAAGAGCACUAAUUGUGCAAUUUCAUUAUGGCCUCGAUCAAUUAUUUUAGUACAUGAUAGUACAAGUAUACAAUGGAUGAAAAAUACUUGAGAUCAAGGUAAUUUGGUUAUUUCAAUUUUGAUGAGAAAAAAAUUUAUACGAGGAAAAUGAAAGUAUAUGAGCAUAUGAAAGUUUAUAUUUGGUCAAUUGGUAACUAUAUGUGAUUUUAUACUUAUGUUUUAUAUGCACUUAUUUAUGAAUGAGUAUAUUCGGUGAAAAGUGGGUAUAUGAAUUGAAUAUGAAAAUAACUAUGUUAUUAUUUAAAGACUUAUUCGGCCAAGCUGAAAAUUUGUUCAUAGUUACAUAUUUGAUAUUUAAGCUUUGCAAGCUCGAAUAUGUAUAUAUACGAAUAUGAUUGCAUUAUUUGAUUUUGUUAUUGAAUUAUUAAUGUCAUUAAAUUGUACAAUUGCUUAUGACUUACUAAGCUGUGGUAGCUUAUUUUGUAUAUGUGUGUUUUCUUUCGAUUUUAUAGAUUUUGGAAGCUAGUUACGGGUUCGGGGAUCGUCAGCGUAGUUAAUCACACUAUCGUCCGUUCAUCGGUAGUUAUAAAAGUUAAAUAUAAAAUCUAUGGCAUGUAUAGGCUAUACUCCCCUUUUUAUUAUAUUUUGAACAAAGUGUGUAUAUAUAUAUAUAUAAUAGGCCAUGCGAAAAUGGCUUGUUUAUUUUGACAUGAAUGGUUUCAUGCUUUGAAUGUGAUUAUGGUUGAUGAUUUAGCUAUGUUUCAUAGAUGGUUAAGACUUAUAUAAAUGAUGUUAUGCUUUGAGAGAUUUUCAAUUUUGAUUAUUAUGCGUAUUGGUUGUGAUAGACAAGUAAAGAUGAUUAAUAUGAUACGAUGUAAGUAUAAGUUACAUUCGAAUUCAUGGAUGGAAACAUUUUAGUUUUUGGCAAUUGAGAUUGAAUUUGAAUUAUCAUAUAUUAUGUGAAAAAUUGUAUAUUGUUUUAUUAUGAAAAUUGAGUAGUUGAAAUUGGUAAUUUGCAUAAUGAGCAUUGUUUAUGGAAUUGGUCUUGUAAAUGACCUUUGAUACAAUUGAAGGUUAAAUAAUACAUAGUAAAUAUAUAUAUAUAGGAUGGGCCUUGGUAUGUCAUGCAUGAAAUUGUUUGAGUAUUAAUGUAUUUGAUAUUAGUUAAAGUAUAAGUAUUUAAGUUUAAUUGUAUUCGGCUAAAACUUGAGAAGUUGACCGUAUGAAUAGUAAUUAUAAUUGAUUUGUUAGUCGAGUAGGCGAAAUGAGUAUGACCUAAAGUGGUGUUUGAAAUAUUUUGCAUAAAUUUUAAUUAUGAAUUAUGUGUUUAUGAAUUUGGUUCGGUAAUACCUCGUAACCUUAUUCUGAAGAUGGACUCGGGUUUAGGGUGUUACAAUUAUAUAAUAGGGUAAACUACACCACAGAUCACCCAUUUAUUGCUCUUUUUUUUUGUCACUCAACUAUCAUUUUUUUAAUGUGAUCAUUUAAUUAUUACAUUUUUUCUUUUUUGGUCACCCAACUAUCAUUUUUUUUAAAUUUGGUCAUACAACUAAUUGAAAUUAUUUUUGUUUGUCCAUUUCUAUUAAGUGUCGUUAAAUAUUUGACGAAAAAAUGACGUGACGAUUAAAAAAUUGGUAUAACAAUAAAUUUAACUCUAACUUUUAUAUAUUCUAUUGAUUUAUUAUUAAAUCAAUUUUAAUUUCAUGGCAACUGACAAAAAUAUACCAAAAAAAAUCUAAUUUAAUUAAAUGAAAAAAAAAACCAAUAAUGUAGUUUACCUAUAUAAUUAUAAGAUGUGGGCCGAACCUACCGGCCUAUAAUGUUUUACCACGAGGGAAUGUAAAAUUUCGAGACUGCCCUGCAAUCAUUUAAGCAAGUCAACUGAAGUCGAGCGGAUGUCCUUCGAUUUUUCAACAUUGGCUGCUAAAAUACCCGUAUAUUUCUCAUCAUUUAGGCAAACCAUUCCAGAGUAGAUAUCAAAGAAAAAAACAGCAGACAGGGUGAAGCAACGCCAAGGUAACAUAUAUUUUUCACAGUAGCUAAGCUAAGUAUAUUUAUUUGUUAACUCUGAUUUGAAUCGCUUUUCUGUGAAGUAGGUUACUCGCAACAAAUUCGUAUAAUCAGACGCUUUUCUCGUUUGCUUCAUCUGAGUGUAAUAGUUCAGGUAAGCUUUUCUUUCAUUUUAAAAGAAGGAAGACGAUGGGUGUGGGUUUGAGAAUAAUCUGAUUUCUUCUUUGUUUUGGAGGAAUUUCAAAAAUCUGACUUCCCAGUUUCGCAACAAUCUUACCUUCUAUAGUUUUUUUUUUUUUUAAUCUUAAAGUCAUUGAACAGUAGAAUAUAAUAUGUAUAAUAAAAUAUAAUAAAUAUAUAGAUCCAUAAUAAUUAGACCUCCUCUGGUUUCUCCGGUCUGUGUUUUCGGGCCCCUUAGACUUUUGUCUAGCAUCUUCUUUUUUGUACAACUUUUGAGAACUGUCGUCCACUGUCUGUAACUUUUUUAUAAUGAAAGUUUCUUUCAUAAAAUAAUCAUAAUUAGAAAAACGUAAUAUUUGAUUGGGUGAGAGAAAAAGACAAUAUAGGCAAGCUACUCAUAUUUUUAUUUUAAAUCAUUUCAAAAGAAUUUUUUAAUUUUAGUUAUCUGAACAUAAAAAUGAAUUAAAUUGACCAAUAAGUGGUAAUAAAAGAUUAACUGUACAUUUUUACCUUAAUCACUCUAAAAUUUAGAUAAAUUAUUCUUUAGUCACUGUAUAUAAAAACUAUUGCUACAUUGGUUUACCCAGUGGAUAACAUUUUACCUUAUAUAAAGAUAAAUUCCUAUUAUCACAGCUUUCCUCGUUUGCCUCAUCUUUGUAUAAUAUUUCAGGUAAGCUUUUCUUUUAUUUUCAAAGAUGAAAGACUAUGGGUGUGGGUUUGAGAAUAAUCUGAUUGCUUCUUUCUUUAAGCUAUGGUUUUGGAGGAAUUUCAAAUCUGACUUCCAGAUUUGAGUUUCGCAACAAUUUCUAGUUUUUUCUUUUUUAAAUUAAUUAUUCCGCCAUUAAAUGUAACAAAAGGCUAACAACGUAUUUUCACAUUCAUCACACUAAAACAAGGGGUUGUUACUGCUUUGGUUUAGGAUAACAUUUGAUCUUAUAUUUUUGUAUACGUUAGUUUUGUAAUUUAAUAACUUUUCUCAAUUUUGAAAAUUUUAAAUAUUCAAAGUCUAUUUGGACAUCACAAAAUAUUUAGUUGGAUAUUUAAUUUUGAAAAAUUGGGUGGCUAAAAGAAACAUAUUUAAUAGUUGAUUGACCAAGAUAUAAUAAACUAAAUAGUUAAAUGAAUAUUCAUAAAAUAUUUAUUAAUUUAAUUUUAAUAUAUUUCUGAUAACCAAAUUAUAAAAAUAUUCACUAUUGGUCUAACCAAAAUAAUUUACGUGUUUAACAGAAAAUUAUAUUUUAAUUUAAAAUUUAAUAAGAAAAAUAAUUUAUUAAUGAAAAAGGAAAUGACAAAAGAAUUUAAGCUAUAAUAAUAAGAAAAUCAUAUUUUAAUAAUAAAACACUAAAAUAAAUUCACAAAAAAUAAUAAUAAAAGGGAAAAGCUAAUUAGACAUUUUAGAAAGUUAAAAUGUUUUUAGUUCAAUCAAAGUACUUUGCACGUUGUAUCCAAAGUAUAUUAUUUAACUUUUAUAAGAAAAAUAUUUUUUAAAUAAAUAAAAAGAACAAAAGGAAAAAAUAAAUAUAAUAAGAAAAAAUAUUUUACUGGAAAAAAAAAAGAAUUCAUAAAAAUUAUACGAAAAAGGAAAAUCAAUUAAAUACUUUAUAAUAUUAUUUUAAAAGAACUCAUAAAAAAUUAAAUAUUUUAAAAGGGUAAAAAUGUUUUAUUUACAUAUUUUAUAUACGUAUUUUAGAAGAUUUUAUAUAUUUUGGAAGAAUAUUUUAUUUUUUAAUACCUUUUGGAGCUGACACUUAAUUUAUAUAUUGAUAGAUAUAUAAUCGUACAUUAAAAUCUAUCCUUCAUAAAGAAGUAAGUGUGACUAAUGGACGUAGUUAUUAUUACUACAUUGCAGAUUAUUUGGUGAAUUAUGGAACUUGCAGGACCAAUUUGUGAAGUGCUAAAGUGCUUAGGAGAUCCAACAUGUACAUACAUACAGCAUCACAGAAAACUUAAAGACAGGAUGAAUGAUCUUCAAGAGAGACUAGUCCGACUAAAUGCUAUGAAGAGAGAUGUGGAGCGGAGAAUAAACGCAGAGCUUCGAUGGGGAAGACUUUUAAGGGAAGAAGUAGAGAAGUGGCUUCUAGAUGUGCAAACCGUCAAUGAUACAAUGCGGGACAUUGAUGAACGAAUGCAAAAUGUGUCUUGUUUUUCACGUGCACGCCUUGGAAAACGUGCAGUUCAAACAAUUGAACAAGUGGAGGGAAUUAUUGAACGAGGUAGGUUCCCUGAAGCUCUAGUAAUUGAUAAUCCAUCUACUGCUGGAGUGCCUUUUCAAUCGGAACAUUUAGAAGGUGAAAUCAUGGUGAUAAAAGACAUUUGGAACUAUUUAAUGAGUGAUGAAAUUGGAAUGAUUGGAGUAUGUGGGAUGGGUGGGAUCGGGAAAACCACUAUCGUGAAGCACAUAUACUAUCAACUAUUGAAGGAGACUAAACCUUUGUUUGAUAAAAUCAUUUGGGUCACUGUUUCAAAGGAGCUCAACAUUCCCAAAUUACAGCAAAACCUUGCAACUGCUAUGAAUAUUGUAGGUCUUCCAGAAUCUGAACCAGAGCGUGUAGCAGUAUUAAUGGAUAAAUUGGGACAAAGAAGAUAUGUAUUGAUCUUAGAUGAUGUUUGGAAAAAGUUCUCUCUGGCAGACGUAGGGAUUCCUAAACCAACCUCCAGCAAUGGGAGUAAGUUGGUAUUAACUAGUAGAUUGAUUGAGGUUUGUAGAUCAAUGGACUGUAAGGUAGUCAAAGUGCCUCCACUCUCCAAUGAGGAGUCCAUGAAUUUAUUCUUGAAGCAUGCUGGACGUGGGGUUUUAAAGGUUCCAUCUUUGAAAGAAAUUUUGGACAACGUUGUUAAGGAGUGUGAUGGGUUACCCCUUGCCGUUGCUGUAAUAGCUGGGAGCAUGAAGGGAAUAUAUAACGUUGAAGAAUGGAGGAACGCAUUAAGAGAGUUACGAGACCAUGUAAGAAGCGUGAAGGGCACAGAUGUUGAAAUAUAUGAGCGAUUGAAGUUCAGUUUCGAUCGUUUGGGAGAUUUGAAAAUCCAAAGUUGUUUUCUUUAUUGCUCACUAUAUCCAGAAGACUAUAUAAUUCCAAGGAAGGAAUUAAUAGAAUACUGGAUAGAUGAGGAAUUUCUUGGAAAUGGGAGUCGACAAGAGUUGCAUGAUAAGGGUCAUACUAUAUUAAAUAGGCUGGAAAAUAAUUGUUUGUUGGAAAAGGUUGGUAGAGAUAUUGUGAAGAUGCAUGAUGUAAUGAGAGAUACAGCAUUGUAUAUCAAAGGUUCUGGCUCCCGUUUUAAGGUACAAUCUGGCAUCGGACUAAAAGAACUACCAAGCAAGCAAGAAUGGGGAGAAGAUCUUGAAAAAGUUUCCUUCAUGGUGAAUAACGUAUCUGAGAUUCCUCCGCACUUGUCACCCAAUUGUGAAGUUCUUUCUACCUUAUUAUUGCAAAAGAAUGAAUCAUUACAAAGGAUUUCAGAAUCGUUCUUUCAACAUAUGCAUAGACUCAGCAUUCUUGAUCUUUCUUAUACCAAUGUCAAGCAACUGCCAACUUCUGUGUCAAACUUGGAAAAGCUCAAAGCAUUGGUGCUUCGUCGAUGCUACAACUUGAGAUAUGUGCCUUCACUAGAAAAGCUUGAGGCUCUAAGAAAGUUGGACCUCAAUCGUACAGCUAUUGAAAAGGUGCCUAAAGGUUUGGAAAUGUUAUCAAAUCUAACUUAUCUUAAUUUAUGUGCUGAAAGCUUAAAGGAGCUGCCAGUUGCAAUUCUACCCAGGCUUUCUUGUCUGCAAUGUUUGAUGUUAUACGUUGAAUCAAGUCGUAUAAGAAUGAAUGGAUUCGAUGCUACCAGAUUAACGAAGCUAGAGAGAUUUGAAGGGAGAUUUACUGAGUUGAUAGACUUUAAUGCCUACACCAAGUCUAUACAAUGUCAACUGCUCACUUCUUACUUGCUUGUCAUGGCACCACUUGAAGCCAAGUUUAACGUGAAACAACGUAUAAAAGGCAUAAAUUGUGUUUACCGUUUCAAGUUGUUGAAUGUGGACAGCGACAAAGGGAGGCAGAAGGCGAUGAUGCUCGCAAGCGGGCUCCAAGGUACGGAUGCAAUUAAAUCCAUAAAAAUUCAAUAGAGUAGGGACCAUUUAGAAGGCCGAUUAAGGCCAGUGCGGGUAAGUUGGUAGUCCCAACUGUGUUGAAUGUCAUCGUGUGGCGCUGUGGAGACUGUAUCUCCACCCUGCUGCAUACCCAUGUUUUCUGACUGGACCCUUAAAGGUCCAGUGCCACUCACCGCACUCCCCUUCCCAUUAUAUCUCCUAAAGCUUUAUUAUAAUAAUAAUAAUAAUAAUAAUAAUAAUAAUAAUUAUUAUUAUUAUUAUUAUUAUUAUUAUUAUUAUUAUUAUUAUUGUUGUUGUUGUUGGACAAACCUUUAUUUCUCCCCCCAUCUUCUUGUUGUUUGUUGGUUUUUUCCCUUUUAUUUAUUCAAGGCUUUUAGUUAAUUAUUUAGUUAUAAAUGAAUUUAUAAAAUUAUCAUAGUAAAGGUUUAGAGUAAAUACUUUACACAUAUAAUUAAUUACACAAAAUAGCUUUAUAAUUAAUUAAUUACAAAUAAGAGUAAAGAGCCAGAACAUUGUAAAUUCUAAAAUAAAAGCAUAAGAAUAAUAUAUAUAAAUAUAUAAAUAAAUCAAGAAAUAAUCGAAUAAAUUGCCAUUAAUAUAUAAUCAUUUUUAAUAUAAAAUAAUGUGUCAACGAUUAAAAUUUUUAAGAUUUUAAAUGUUAAAUAAUGUUAUUAGGGAAAAAAAAGGUUAAAUAAUAUUAAAAUACAUAUAAAAACAACAAAAAAUUUAUUUUUUAAGUAUUAAUUAAUGUGAAUAUGUUAUUAUCAAUUCUUUUUAAAUAAUAUUAAAAUACAUAUAAAAACAAACAAAUUUUAUUUUUUUAAGUAUUAAUUUAUGUGAAUAUGUUAUUAUCAAUUCUUUUUUUUUAUUAAUUUCCCAUUACUUAUAGCAAAACUACUAUUUGGCAUAAAAAUAUUUUAAUAAAAUUUAUUUAUGACAUAAAUGUCAAAUUAUUUAAAAAUUAUGUUACACUCAAACUUUAGUUUGGCAUUUGUAUUUGUUUUGUUAAUAUAAUUUACUCACUGCCAUUUGUUUUUAUUAUCUAAUCACUUCGUAUUAUCCAUUUUGGUUCUACUGUGUUAUAGUUACUUGUACGUAGAGCAAUUAAAUUCUCUUUUACAAACCUUUUGAAUAUCACUUAAACCAAUUAUUUAAAUUCUAAAAUAAUCGUAUAUGACUCUACCGAGUGUAUUUUAUAAAGUUAUACUAAAUAUUAUAUUAUUUAAAUUUAAAAAAAUUAUAAAAUUAUGCUAAAAAUUAUAUUGUAAAAAAUAAUUUAUAUGUUACAAAAAGUCUUACAAUCUUUUUUUUUUUUAGUUAUGAAAAAAAAUUAUAUAAUUUGUAAGAAAUGUUAUGAAAGUUAUUGAACACUAUAUAAUUUUUUUAUAAAUAUUUUAUAUUAUUUUUUACCUGAUUUAUUUAUUAUAAAAAUAGUUAUAGCAUAAGUUUUUAUCCAAAUUAAGUUUAAGUUUUUAUAAUCAAAACUAAAUUAUAAAGUUUGUAAUAAUAAUGAUUUACUCAUUUAUUUCAACAUCAUAUAUUUACAAAUUAUGUAGUUUUCAUUCUUUAAAGGUUUAUUUAAAUUGUUAUUUAUUUAAACACUUAAAUUUUACAUUCCAACCAAAUAAAAUAAUCUUAUAUUCACCCACAAUUCUAUUAUUCCACAAACUAACUACACCUUUAAAUUUUUAUUUAUUUAUGCUCCUGUGCUUUAAUACGGUAUGGUGGCUAAUGUAGUACCCCCCCCCCCAAAAAAAAAUACAAUUGGCAAUAGUAACACUAAUGAUUAAUUAUAUUAGAAAUUGAGUUUGAUAAGUACUAUCAUUCUUGAUUGGUGAAGGUGCGGAAUCUGUUUCCUUGAUCUCUAAAGAUAGGACGAUUCUGGAAGUGUCUGGUGACUCAGAAAUGGGACCCACUAAAAUUGCGGCAAAUUGGAAGAAACGAGGUAUAGAAGUGCAGCUCGUGGAUGAGCGGUGGGACCCUACCUCUCUUCCUAUGAAAUACGUGAUAUUAAGCGGGUGUCCGAUAGGACGAGAAGAUCCAGCAGAGCUCCCAAGUGACGUUAGGACUCUGAAAAUUUUUGGGUGCCACAAUAUCAGAAGCUUAAGUGAUAUGCCCUUCUUUCAGCAAACAAAUGAGUUGGGGUUCUGUUCGAUUCACGAUUGUAGAGGGAUAGAAUCUGUGCUUGAUCUGUCGUCACCAUCCCAAUCAUGCACCCCAUUUGAGAACCUUGACCUCUUGUGGCUUGAAAAUUUAGAGAACCUUCAUGUGCUUGUUAAACUAGCAGAAGCAUCCGUUGUUUCUACAUUGAGUUCGCAGUCUAUUCCAGCCAUCUUUUCCCAUCUUAAAUCAUUUUAUAUUGAAGGAUGCUCAAACAUGAAGCAGCUCUUUCCCUUUGACUUGGUACAUGACCUCCAAAACCUAGAGAACCUCAUAGUUCGUGGUUGUGGACAAAUCGAGGAAAUAAUAGGAUCAAAAGAAGAGGAAGAGAAUCACAAGGGAAAUGGAACGCAAGCUCCAACAAAGUUCAGCCUUCCCAAAUUAAGGGAGUUAGAAUUGAAGAACUUACCAGAGCUGAAGAGCAUAUGCAGUUCAAAUAGGGAAAUGGUAUGCAACUCUCUUAUGAAAAUCGAAGUAAAGAAAUGUACCAAUCUAAAAAGGAUGCCUCUGUAUCUUCCUCUUUUUCAAGAUACACACCAAUCAGCUCCUUCUGCUCAUCCUUUUUUACUAAUCCGCAUAGAUCCAAUGGAGUGGUGGGAAUCAGUAGAGUGGGACUAUCCGAAUGCUAAGGAGGUUCUGCGACCUUGGUUGAAAUUGUAUUAGCGCUGCUGGAAGCCUUUGCUGUUCAUAUCAAAUUCCGGAUCAAGCUAAACAGUGAGUCUUCAUUUGUUGUUUUUAUUUCUAGAAAAAAAAUUGAAGAUCUUUUAUUCUACCAAAAAGAAAACGGGAAAUCUGCAAGAAGAGGAUUAUGAUUGGCAAAAUAGAGACCAAAGAGAACAAAACUAUUACUAAUGUUUGAAACAAAUUUAGAUCAAUUAGCAUCAUGCUUUGUUACCAGCUGUAGGCCAAAUUGGUUGAAAAUGGUUUCAGUAAAGCACGGUCUCAUUUGCUUCUUUGUUUAACCCCAAUGGUUAGGCUUGCUCUAGAACCCUUGAGAUUCUCAUUAUGACAUUAAUGAUUUGAAUGAACCAACAGCCCCUUUUUCUUCUUUAUUUUGUAACUGCAAGCUUUAAGUUGAUAUAAAUAUGUUUUCCAAUGUAGUAUUCUUGUUUGCUUAGAUCAAUGUCAAAAACCUUGCCUCUAAUGCUUCCCUUACUUCUCCACUUUUUUUUUUUUUUUUAAAUUCUUUGUGGGGUCUUAUUAAAUACAGGUUGUUUAUGCCAUUCUAAAGCUAGCAAAGCAGUUGGCUUGACAAUCAAAUCUUGGAGAAACAAGUCAACCCAACUCAUCACUGUACCUUCAUUCUUCUGUGGGGGUUCUAUCUUUGAUGUGGUACUUCGUCGGAUGCAUCCUUCUCUUGUGGUUUUAUCUGUAAUAAAUGAACUUCAAUUUGGUUUCAAUGUGAUUGGAUUGUUGAUGUUGUAAUUCAACUUUGUACUUGAUAAUCCUGCUUCUAGUUUGCAUCAUUUUUUACUAUGUGGUUAUGUUUCCUGUGGCUUAAUUGUCUCAUUUGAUCUUGGAACUUGCACAUUUAUAUAUAUAUAUAUUGAACCAUCCCACAGGUAUAUACCACUUCUUGAAAUGGUGUUUUAUUUAGGUGGCCUUUUUGCUAUUGUGAACCAUCCCAAUGCUAAGCAGGAUCUGCUACCUUGGUAAUGCUAUAGCGCUACUGAAAGGCUUUGUACUUAGAUCAUCUUGAUUUUAAUUAAUUUGCAUCAUUUCAUUAUUUGAUUGUAAGUGUAUUUUCUCAUCUUGCGAAUUGGACUUAAUAAUCUAAGUUGUUUGCUUAUCAAUUAUACUUUUUACAAAACAAGUCCAGGAAAAGAUUGCAAACAGGGUUACAGGAUUGCUGGGAUUUCAAUUUUAUGUGUAUGCAUAUUAUUUAAUUUCUUAGGAUUAGAGCUCAUUUAUUUAUUUAUACUAGAUUUAUGGCACACUCAAUUGUGUAAAUUUUGGUUACAAUGAUAAAAUUAGUUCACAUCGUGCAUAAAGUUCUAAAUUCAAAUCAAUUUAUAGUAAGUUUUUAUUGAUUUAUAUUGUGUAAAAAAACAAAAACACUCUCAUUAGAAAUAAUUAAAGUUAAAUAUGGGUGAAUAUUUUAAUAAUUCCGUAGUUAACUUAAUACCUAACAGAAUCGAUAUAGUACUUAAAAUAAGUAUACACGUAAGUAUAGAUGAUGACUAUAAAAUAAUUUAGGCACUAAUUUCAGAGUGUUGUUAUAUCCAAUACCCACCACCUAGAGGCUUUCAAGCUAUAGAAAGGGUCCAAAACUCUAUCUAUUCCUUGCAUCUGAUGGUGGGGUAAUGUUUAGACAUAAUCUAGAUUUGGAUUUGAUUAUCUAGAAUUUUCAAAUUAAAUUGAUUUGGUUUCAGAAUUAGAAUAAAAAGCUAGUUUUGAAAUUUAUUUUAUUUAAGUUGGAAUGUAUUUUAUUUUGAGUCUAAUUUAAUUAAUAAAAUAAUUUUAAUUUAAUAUAUUAAGUCAAGAUUUUUAGUUGAUUAAGCAAUUUAUUAGUGAUUAAUGGAACUAGUUCAAAAAUUUAUCUUAACUGAAAUAAUUACAUUAAAAAAAUUUAAAAUAUCAUAGAGUGAACAUGAUAUAGUUUACUUUUUUUCAUCCUACUUAUGAGUCUUCUUGAAUAGUUUCAUUAUCUUCACAAUUUGCAUUCAUGUAGUUAUAUCACUCUACUUUUAGUUAUCCAUAAUUAAUUUUUUGAAAAAAUAUAUAUAACAAUGAAAAGUUAAGAAAUUUCAACCAAAAAAAAAAAAAAACACUUUUUGUUGAGGCUAUAGAUCAAAUGGCUAUAUUUGUUAAAUGACUACUCCAACCGUUAAAACCAUCUUUGUGAAAAAAAUCAGCUUGAUCAAGAUUGUAUACAGGAGCUAGAAUUGAAUGACUAAUAAUUUAAAUUGUUUUAAAAAAAUUAUUCAACUUUAACAAUUUCUUUUGAGAUUAAAAAAAUUUAAUCAAUUUUUUAAUAAAUUAAAUUUUAUCCAUCCCUAAUCUUUUAAAUAUAAAGAAAGACCCUAAACAGAUUUUUUAUUAAAAAAAUUAUAAGAUGAUAGAUAGCUACUUAUCAUUAAAUGUAGAAAAUAUUAAAUUACUUUUAUUUUAUUAAAAUAUUAAAAUAAAUUAUUUUUUAAAAUGAAAUAUUCAAAUUACCCUAUGUAUCUUUUAUCCAAAACUAUCUACAAUAAUAUAAAAUAUUAUAUUAAUAAAAUUAAAAUUAAUAAAACAAAUAAUCUUUUAAAAUCAAUAUUUACUUUUGUUAAAACAAUAUAAUUAUAUUCGAUACUUAUAUUUACUAAUUUAUCAAAUAAUUUUUAAUAUAAAUUUAAAACUUAUAAAAUUUAAUGGUAAAAAUUCAGUAGUUAAAUUUUUAAUAAUUAAAAUUUUAAUUUAUCAUUAGAUUAUGUAAGAAACAACAAUAAUAUAUAAAUAAUGAAAGUCAAUUACGUUCAUUGUCUUCCAUUAAAGAAAAGUUACACUCACAGUUUUUCAGUGAUAUUUCAGAUUUAUUUUUUAAUUAGUUUUUUAAUAAUAUAAUUUUUUUAUCGUAAUCAAGAUAUUCACAGUAGAUAGUAGUUACUAAUCUCUUUGUCGCAGGUAAAUAAUGUAUUUUUAAUUAUAAUAAUUAGUAUAUUCGUUAUUUAAAUUAUUGAAGAUAAUUAAAUUAUAUUAUCUUAUUUUAAAAAUCAAACUUAUAAUAAUAAAAAAUUUUAAAUGAUAAUUAAAGCAUUUAUAUUAUAUUUAAUGUAGAAUAUAAUUUUACUUCAUUUAAUUUAUACAGAACAACAUUACUAAUAAUAAUAAUAUAAUUAACAUAUAAAUUUUAUUUUGUCAUUCAAAUGCAAUGCUAAUAAAAAAAUUGUAAAAAUUAUAAUAAAAAAAGUAAUAUAUCAUAGGGAUCAUAUAUAAAAUCACUUAAUAAAAAAAAUUUAAUCUUCACAAAAUUCCAAUCUAUCCCAAAUAAAGUCAUAAUAAUAAAUUUCUUGAUAUUAAUCAAUAAAGUUUAAAACAAAAAAUAUAUAUAUUAUCAAAUUAGGAAAACCUACUUGAAAAUCUUGAAAAAUUAAUAUUUAUCAUAUAAAAUUCUAGAGAGAAAAAGAGAAUACGAAAAAUAUUGGAGAAAGUGAUGAAUAUUAAAAAGAAAAAGAAUAAGGAGUUUUGAGAUUUUGAGUAGGUUCAGAGAUAUUUAUUUCUUUUAUAUAAAUAAAUUAUUUUUAUAACAAAAUGUAAUAUCCAAAAAAAUUUACAGUAAGAUAUUAUCUUUGAUAUAAUAAAUAAGGAAAUAAAAUAAAAAAAAAGGAAAAUUUUAGAGCUAAGUCAACAUGGGGAAGUAUAUUAUAUUACAUAUAAUAUAAUAAGUAGAGUAGAUUAUAGAAAAGAUCCAUAAUAAUUAGACCUCCUCUGCUUUCCCCCAUAUUUGUUUUCCGGCCUCUUAGACUUUUGUCUAGCAAAUAUUACAACUUCUAGUUUCCAUAAGUUGUGGAUUAGUAUUUAUAUUUUAACUUGAUUAAUUUAAGCCAUUAUAUUUUUCUAAUCGGUCUUAAUUCCUGUAAUUUUUAAAUUAUUAAAUAUAAUUAAAUUAUUUUAUUUUAUUUAAUAAUUCAAAUAUUAUAAUAAUGAUAACUUUCAAAUUAUAAUUAAAUCACUUUAAUUAUAUUCAAUAUAAAUAUAUUUUUACUUCAUAUAAUUCAUACAAAGUAACAUUACUAAAAAUAAUAGCAUAAUUAACAUAUACCAAUUAUUUUAUCAUUCAAAUAUAGUGCUAAUAUUUUUUAAAUAAUUAUUGAAGUCUUCAUUAUUCAAUGUACUAUUCAUUAAAUUUUUAUAUAUGAAAUAUAAAAUACUUAUUAUAUAAAUUAUUUAAAUUUGCUAUUUUGGAACCAACAUAUAUUUUCCAUAGAAACGCAAUGAUUAAAUUAUAAAUUAAUUUAAUAUAAAUAUUAACUUUUUAUUUACUAUUCUAAAUUUUAGCAGAAUCAAAUUUUUUAUAAUUUUUUUAAUUUAUAAGUAUGAUAAAUUUUAUUAUCAAAUAAAUUUUUUUAACCAAACAUUUUAGUAAAAUUAAUUUUUUAUAAAUAUGAUUAAUCUUAUAAAUAAUAAAAUAUUUUAAAAUAAUAAAUUUAAUAAUAUAACAAACAAUAAAAAUUAUAUUGAUUAGUUCGAAUCUAAACUCGUAUUUUUAUAUAUAUUAGUCUUUGACAUAUGUGCAAUGUUUAUAUUUUUAUUAUUCUUUUUACAAUAUUAAAGAAGUACUUAUGUUUGUUUGAAAGAUGGAUAUAUCGCAUAUAUAUAUUUUAUUAUCUUUACAAAAUUAAUUAAAAUAUUAUAAUAAAAUAAUUUAGUAUAACAUAUAAAAUAAACUAAAUAAAUGUGUGAUCAUAAUGAAUGAAGAUUAUAAUUUUGCAUCAUUAUCGAUUUAAACGAUCUUUCAUCUCUUUCUUAUAGUGUUGUCAUUUGACAAUCACUUGAAAUUUCCUUUGAAAACCUAUUACUUUAAUACUCAAUAUUUUUUAGAUACUUAAAACUUAUCAAUCUAACAGUCUUCAUUUGUUGAAUAAUAUUUAUAAUAAUAGAUCUUAAUUUUAAUUGGUAUAUAAAUAUAACACUAAUUAAAUGAUAACUGAUUUAAAAUAAUAUUUAUUAUUAAUAAUUAAUAUACUCAAUUGUAUAGUUCAAACCAAUAAAAACUCUAUUAUACAAAAAAUAUUAUUAUUAUAAUAAUUUUAUCUAUUAACUUUUAUUGAGACUUUAUCUAUUACUAGUAUACCUAUCAUACCCAUAUUCGUGUGAAAAUAUUUAGAAUGUAUGUGACCGUAUUUUCAAAUGAAAAAAAAAAUCUAUUAUUUAAAAAAAUAUUUUAAACUCAUACUUUUAUAUAUAUAUCAAACUCGUGCACAUCUAUAUUAUUAUUAUUAUUAUUUUGUACAAGAGGGACAUGCUACAAAAUUGAUGUGAAUAAAAUCAUAAAAGAAUUUAAAAUGAUAAGAUAUUACUUAUUGAUUAAAUUGAAUAGUUUAAGUAAUAAUGAAAAUAUAAUUAAAGAUGGAUUAUUUUAAUAAUUGUUAUGAUUUAAAUAAAGGUAAAAUAACAACUCUUUCUUAAAAAUUUAUGAUUAAAUAUUAAAUUUCAAAAAAUAAAAAGUAUUAAAGAAAUUAGAUUAAAGUUUGAUUUAAUUUAUAUAUGCAUACUAAUAAUAUAUAAAAUUAAGGGUAAGCUACACUUAUGGUCACUUUUGUUUGAUUUAACAAUGUCUUUAUCAUUUCACGGAGAUAAUACCAACACUAACAACCAUACUUUUUGCUACAAAGAUAAUAUCAAUUUCAAGCCUUAGUGGUCUCGUGUCUUAAUCUAUUUUUAGCUCAAGCAUCGGAGAGAGAUUACAGGUAAAGGAUAUGGCAUUUUAUAUUUCCAACUUUGUCAAUUGAAUAAAAAAAAAUAAAAGGUAUUUUUGAAAGUCAUUUUUUAUAUAAAAUCUUUAAAAUAUUUUUUUACUUUUAAAAUUUUUAAUUUUUUUUAUAAUUUAUAUUUAAUUUUUAAAAUUUUAAGAAUUUUUAAAUAUUUUUAUAAUUUUUAAAAUUCAGACUAAAAUGACAAAUUUUGUAAACAUUGAGGACUAACUUUGUUGAAUUUUUAAAAUUUAGGAUCAAAUUAGUAGAAUGUGUAAAUAUUGAAGGGUUAAAUUUUUUAUUAGGCCAAUAAAAUAAAGUCACGUUAGACUAACUCACGGAAGAAUGACUAAAAUAUUUAAUUUCAAAAAAUUAAAUAAUUAAAAAAAAAUUAAUAGUUGGGUGAUUGAAAUAGAACAAUAUGAAUAGUUAGAUGACUAUUCUUGUACUUUACAACUAAAAUAUUAAUUUAAUUUAGGUUUAACAUAUUUCUGUUAAUCAAAUUGUAAAAAUAUUCAGUAAUUGUUGGUCUAACAAAACAAUUUAAUAGUUUCACAAAAAAAAAAAUAGUUUAAUUCAAAACUUAUUAAGAAAAAAAUAUUUAAUAAUGAAAAAAAGAAAAGCAUUUUUUUAAAAAAUUUGUAAUAAUAAGAAAAAUAUUUUCUUAUAAAAAUAAGAAAAAUAUUUUUUAAUAAUAAAACACAAAAAGAAUUCACAAAAAUACUGUAAUACAAAAAGGGAAAAUUGUAAUUAAAUAUUUUUUAAUAUUAUUUUAAAACAAUUUAUAAAAAUAAUUAAACAUUUUAAAAAGUCAAGAUGUUUUUAAUUCAACCAAAGUACUUUGCACGUUGUAUCGAAAGUAUAUUAUUUAAAUUUUAUAAGAAAAAUAUUUUUAAAUAAAUAAAAAGCACAAAAGAAAAUAAUUUAAUUAUAAUAAGUAUUUUUCGGGUAAAAAGAGGGGAAAAAAUAAAAGAAUUCAUAAAAAUGAUAUGAAAAGGAAAAGUUAAUUAAAUGCUUUAUAAUAUUAUUUUAAAAGAGCUCAUAAAAAUAAUUAAAAAUUUUAGAAGAAUAUUUUAGUUUUUCUUAACACUUUUUGGAGCUGACACAUAAUUUAUAGAUAGAUAGAUAAUCAUACCCUAAAAAUCUAUCCUUUAUAAAGAACUAAAUGUAGUUGUUAUUAUUACCUUGCAGAGUAUUUGGUGAAUUAUGGAAUUUGUAGGACCAAUUUGUGAAGCAUUAAAGUGCUUAGGAGAUCCAACAUGUACAUACAUAGAGCAUCACAGAAAACUUGAAGACAGGAUGAAUGAUCUUCUGGCAAAACAACGCCAACUAAAUGCUAUGAAGCGAGAUGUGGAGCUGAGAAUAGAGGCGGAGCUUCGAUGGGGAAGACUUUUAAGGAAAGAAGUAGAGAACUGGCUUCUAGAGGUGCAAACCGUCAAUGGCAAAGUACAGGAGGUUGAUAAAAGAAAGCAAAAUGUGUCUUGUUUUUCACGUGGGCGCCUUGGGAAACAAGUUUCCCAAACAGUUGAAGAAGUAAAGGAAAUUAUUGAACAAGGCAGGUUCACUGGAGCUCUAGUAAUUGAUGAUCCAUCUACUGCUGGAGUGCCUUUUCAGUUGGAACAUUUGGAAGGUGAAACCGAGGUGAUUGAAGUCAUUUGGAAGCAUUUGAUGAGUGAUGAAAUUGGAAUGGUUGGUGUAUGUGGAAUGGGCGGGAUCGGGAAAACCACUAUAAUGAAGCACAUACACGAUCAACUAUUGGAGGAGACUAAAUCUAAACCCUUGUUUGAGAAAAUCAUUUGGGUCACUGUUUCACAGGACUUCAACAUCACCAGGUUACAACAAGACAUUGCAGAUGCUAUGAAUAUUAAAGAUCUUCCGGAAUCUGAAGAAAAGCGUGCAGCUGUGUUAAGGAACAAAUUGCGACAAAUAAGAUAUGUAUUGAUCUUAGAUGAUGUUUGGGAAGGGUUCGUUCUCGAAAAGGUAGGGAUCCCUGAACCAAUAUCCAGCAAUCGGAGUAAGUUGGUAUUAACUAGUAGAUUGAAAGAGUUUUGUAAAUCUAUAGGCUGUCAUGAGAUAGUCGAAGUGCCUCUACUUUCCUUUGACGAGUCCAUGAAUUUAUUCUUGGUUCAUACCGGACAUGAGGUUCUAAAGGUUCCAUCUUUGGAAAAAAUUUUGGGCGAUAUUGUUAGAGAGUGUGAUAGGUUACCCCUUGCCAUAAAAGUAAUAGCUAGUAGCAUGAAGGGAAUAUAUGAUGUUGUUGAAUGGAGGAAUGCAUUAACAGAGUUACGUAACCAUGUAACAAGUGUGAAGGACACAGAUAAAGAAAUAUACGGGCGAUUAAAGUUCAGUUUCGACCGUUUGAAAGAUUUGAAUAUCCAAAAUUGUUUCCUUUAUUGCUCACUGUACCCAGAAGACUAUAGAAUUCCAAGGAUGGAAUUAAUAGAAUAUUGGAUAGACGAGAGAUUUCUUGAAAUGGCGAGUCGACAACAAUUGCAUGAUAGGGGUCAUACUAUAUUAAAUAGGCUGAUAAACAACUGUUUGUUGGAAAAGGCAGGAGAUGAUGUUAAGAUGCAUGAUGUGAUGAGAGAUAUGGCAUUGUAUAUCAAACAACUUCAUUUUAUUGUAAAAGCUGGCACCGGAUUGGAAGAAUUACCAAGCAAUUCAGAAUGGAAAAAAGAUGUUGAAAGGGCUUCAUUCAUGAUGAAUAAGGUAUCAGAAAUUCCUCUAAGCUUGUCACCCAAUUGUGGAAACCUUUCGACCUUAUUACUGAAAAUGAAUGUGUCCUUGAAAAGGAUUUCCGAAUCAUUCUUUCAGCACAUGCAUAGUCUCAGCAUUCUUGACCUUUCUUAUACCGGUAUCAAGCAAUUGCCCAAUUCCGUUUCAAACUUGGAAACGCUCAAUGCAUUGGUGCUUCGUGGAUGCUGCAACUUGAGAUAUGUGCCUUCACUAGAAAAGCUUAAGGCUCUACGAAAGCUAGACCUCCGUGAUACAGCUAUUAAAGAGGUGCCUAAAGGUUUGGAAAUGUUAGUAAAUCUGACAUAUCUUGAUUUAUCUACUGAAAGCUUAAAGGAGUUCCCAAUGGCAAUUCUCCCUCAGCUUUCCUGUCUACAAUAUUUGAUAUUUUACAGUAAAUCACGUACUGUAAAACUGGAUGGAUCGGAAGCUGCCAGAUUAAGGAAGCUAGAGGAAUUUGAAGGGAGAUUUAAUGAGUUGACAGACUUUAAUGACUACACCGACUCUAUACGAAGUCAAAGUCUUACUUCUUACUUGCUUGUCAUGGCACCACCUGAAGCCAAGUUUAAAGUCAAAGAGGGAACCAGAAAAUUAAAGCUUAAGUAUGAUGGUUCAGGAGACAUCACAGUCCCAAAACUAAGGAAAAUGACAAAAGGACUCAAAGGUACGAUCGAAUCAAAUCUAUAUUAUGUUAAUCUACUUUUAUGAUAUUAAUUUCGUCAGUGUUGAUAUUCAUAUUCCUUUUAGUUAUUGAAUAUUUUAUUCAAAACACAUCGAGUUAAAUAUAAAUACAAUAUUUAAAUGAAGGACAACGAUAGAAAAACUUUUUGAGGAUUGGAAUUAAAUUAUAUAUUUAUCUGAUAGUAAAAAUAUAAUUUUACCAUCUUAAUAGUUUAUAUAUUUAUAAUUUUUGAAGGAUUAAAUUAAAAUUUUAUAAUUUUGAGGAAUUAAAAUAUAAUUUUACUAUUAUUAAUUUAAAAAUAAAAAAUUUUCCAGCUGGCCGCCUGCAAACCCCCGGCUUAGCCACUGAUUCAAAUUAUUUGGUAGCAAAAUAAAAAAUAAAAAAAUACAUUUAGCCAAUUGAGCUUUCAAAGUUUUUUAUUAAUCUGGUCCAAACAUUAAUCAAACCUGCUUAUGUGGCAUCAAAAUCAGUUUUCAACAUUUCAUAAUCAUAUUUUGAGGAAAUUGAAAAAUGAGAAAUGCUUUCUAAAUAUAUAAUUGAUUAAAGCCAAUAUUCAAGAAUAAUUUAUAAAUACUUUUAUAUGCUGCUAAAUAUUGAAUAUCUGUGGAAUCUGUGUCCUUUGUAUAUUUGCAUUUUAUUUAUUUUUAGCAUGCCUUUUGUUUCUUUUCGCAUAUUUUUAACAGUUGAAGGUGUGGAAUAUGUGGCCUUUAAAGAGGAAAAUGGACAAGUGAAAGUGAUUGGUGACGUGGAUCCUGUUCGAAUCGUAAUGAAGCUGAGAAAAUAUAUCCAUGUUGAUAUCUUGUCUGUGGGUCCAAACCGGAGGAGCUUUCGCUCUCUUCUACCCAAGAAGGAAGUAAUUUUAAGUGGAUGCCAGAUCGGAAGAGGUCCAGUGAUUCUUCCAACUGAUCUUAUGCUUCUGAGAAUUUUUGAAUCCCACAAUGUGAGAAGCUUAAGCGAUAUCUCCAUAUUCUUCCAACAAGCAAGCCAGUUAAGGUUCUGUUCAGUUGAAGAUUGUAAAGGGAUAGAAUCCAUUCUCGACUCGUCUUUGUCGAACUCGCUUUGCAGACCACUUGAGAACCUUGAGUACUUGUGGCUUGAAAGGUUGGCUAAUUUGCAUGUGCUUAUUAAAUUCGAAGCACCUCUUUCUAUUUCUAGGUCACGGCCUCUACUAGGCAUCUUUUCUCAUCUUAAAUCAUUUGUGAUUAAAAAAUGCCUAAACAUGAAGCAGCUCUUCCCAUUUAAGCUAGCACAUGACCUUCAAAACCUGGAGAAUCUGGUGGUUUGUAAUUGCGUACAAAUGGAGGAAAUAAUAUCAUCAGAGGAAGAGAAUCACAAGGGAAACGGAAUAAACACUCCCAUGAAAUUCAGUCUUCCCAAAUUAAGGGAGUUAGAAUUGAAGAACUUACCAGAGCUGAAGAGCAUAUGCAGUUCAAAUAGGGAAAUGGUAUGCAAUUCUCUUCGGAAUAUUGAAAUAUCGAAAUGUACGAAUCUGAAAAGGAUGCCUCUGUAUCUUCCUCUUUUUCAAGAUACACACCAAUCAGCUCCUUCUGCUCAUCCUUUCGGAAGAAUCCGCAUAUGUCCAAAGGAGUGGUGGGAAUCAGUAGAGUGGGACUAUCCGAAUGCUAAGGAGGUUCUGCGAC
rnacentral:lncRNA from 1 species